GGCUGGUCCAAGUGCAGUGGUGUUUACAACUAAUUGUACAAUCAGUUACAGAUUUCUUUGUUCCUUUUCUACUCCCACUGCUUUAUUUGACUAGUUAAC
ensembl:Y_RNA Y_RNA Y RNA